CCCCCCCCCCCCCAUCAUUUCUUUUAUCUGCCACUCAUUUCUCAUUACGUUUCUCUUUUUUCAUUAGCAUACAGAGUAAGAAGAUGGCGCCCGAGGUAAUCUGCCGGAGCCGUCGCUUGACAAAAUGGAGGGCGUCAUCGGAGGUCGCGGCGCUGUCACCAGACGUCCAACCUCCGCUGAUGACUCGCCUGUCUCGAUGCACGCCUGCGCGGCGCACAUGAGCGAAAGAUGCUAACGCGGACCCAUAAUCAGACAAGCAGAUGAACCCGCAGCCAGCCCAUUACGCUGACCACUCCUUGCGGCUAAAUACCCUUAAUGUCUUAAACUGCGGGCGAGGGCUGCUCUCACGCUGCAUUUUGGCACCGUUGGAGAUCAAAACUGCAGUCGAAUCCACCACCUUUCCUGAUCCAAAUCCAAAAUGCAGUCAAGUACUUGACUUUCUGAAGUUUUGAAUCCAGAAGGGCAUCAAAAGUGUCCAUGUUGCUGUCAAGGUAAGGAAACCCAUCUCUGAUUUUGACGCGUGUACAAUACCGGUUGAGUGGAUGCAUGGAUUUUAGUCCAGAACCGUCCUUGACACUCUCAAAAGUCAAGACAGGUUCUCCAGCGCAACAACGAGGACACAGAUGACAAAUAUCACAAUAUCAUCGCGAGAAAAAAAAUCUUCCUGCGCCGUCAUCACGC